GCCUGGGUGGCUCAGUGGUUGAGCAUUUGACUUCAGCUCAGGACCUGAUCCUGGAGUCCUGGGAUCAAGUCCUGCAUCAGGCU
rnacentral:tRNA from 1 species